GCAACAGCAGCAGCAGCAGCAGCAGCAGCUGCAACAGCAACAGCAACUUCAGCAGCAGCAGCAGCAGCAG
rnacentral:miRNA from 1 species